AUCUGCCUGGGACUUUAGUCGGGGAUCAUAAUUGAACCUACACUUAUUGCACGGGAAUCCGAGUUCAGAGUGAAAUAUGCCGAGCCUCCUUUGAGUGGAGGGCAGAAAGCACCGACAGGAUACCCACCUAUCAUUCGAUAGGGCGUCAAUUAUACCUGACGGAGCCUCCGGGUAGUUU
rnacentral:other from 1 species